rnacentral:lncRNA from 1 species
UUUCAAGGCUUGCAACACACACGCCUGAUGUUUGUCUGAAAAAAAUACAAAAUAAAUACAUUCUUCCUUCUGUGUUGGACUGGGGGUAUUUUUACUCUGCAUGUUUCAUCUCUAAAUGGUAAGGUUUAUUUUUGGUCAAAUAUCUGGUUGUAAUCAGUCAUUUUGAGUUAACUAACUUUACUGUAGAGUUAAGCAAGGAGAAUGUAACAGUGUAUUGUGGUUUCCGUCAUUUUGGCAAUGUACUAAUUAAAUAUCAAAUUCUAUAAAAUGACAUUAUAUAGCAUAUAAUUAGUUCAAGUUUGCUUAUAAACACUGUAACCCAGCAGGAAGCUCAGCAAGCAUCAUUAUUGUGCAACAUUUGAUCAACCUGUGAAGUGCAGACGGAAACUGGUGAAUAUCAUGUGUUUAUUGUUGUGGUUUCUCAAGGUUGAGCAAAGAGAUGCUCUUGUUUCUUUGAAAUGGCUCUUUUCAGGCCAGACGGCACAGUAGAGAUGUCACACCAGUGUAACUGUAUUUACUUUUAGACAACAAUCUAGAAGGUGCAGAAAAGGUUUGGGAUAACAGAAGACUUCCAAAUGAUAUGAAAGUAUAAACUACUCCAUCCUCCUCUAUAGUGUGUAGCAGUGGCAUGUGGGUCUGUAUCACUGUGAAAUGCUGAAGACUUUAGCUAUAGCAUUAACCAUAAGGACACUGGAGUCCACACGCGCAGAAGAAUUAGAACAAGGUGAAUCCGAAAGCUCAGAGGACACAGUGAUGUCUUUUUGGCCCUUCAUAGCAGGAGGAGCAACUAUUAUUAUUUGUCUUCUUGUGGUCACGACAUGUUGCAUUGUGUAUAAACGAAAAAAAACAUCAGAUCAACCAUAUUAUGCAAACAGCCAGCAGGUUCAAGAGGCCAGACAAAAUCAAAUCAUUUAUGAGAAUGAUCAUGAGUUCAGAAAAAAUAUCUCCAAAGGGAAAAGACCGUUUUCGUCAGUUUACAUCAAUAGGCCUGAAAAUAAGGUUGCAAUUUAUGUGAACAGUGCAGCACAGGCAGAUGAGACGAAUGCAAACAGCACCGACAAUGAUUAUGAAAAUGUGGAGUAGUCUGCUAAGAAGACAUGACUGCAGUUCUUCAUUCUUCAUUCUGUUUUUCAUUCAUUGUCUUUUGUGCACACUACUAACUUAAGUGGAUUAAUGAUAUAAAUAAAUACAUGUAGGCCUGAAAAUAAGGUUGCAAUUUAUGUGAACAGUGCAGCACAGGCAGAUGAGACGAAUGCAAACAGCACCGACAAUGAUUAUGAAAAUGUGGAGUAGUCUGCUAAGAAGACAUGACUGCAGUUUUUCAUUCUUCAUUCUGUUUUUCAUUCAUUGUCUUUUGUGCACACUACUAACUUAAGUGGAUUAAUGAUAUAAAUAAAUACAUUUUAGCAUUUCAGCCUUAUUCAGGUAAUACACAUGAACAGAAAAUAAUCUGUUAUAAUGGAAUGAUCUGUGACCAUUUAGGAUGAUAAAACAUUUUAGGAUGACAAAGUCUUUGUAGUAGUAUAUUUGACUAACAUUGUAUUUGUCAAAAAUGGCAGUGUGUUCUUCACAACAGUGAAUAAAAUCUUGC